UUUUUCUUCUAGCAAUCAAUUUCCAUUGAUAUUUCAAACAUUAGUAUUAUAGCGGUAUACAUUCCAAGUGAUAUACAGAUUAAAUGACUAGAAAAUGUAUGGCUCUCAACUAUUCGAAAGUUGUUGAGAGCACUUGCAUAGAAUCUGAUGUAUUUGAGUAUGCAGCUAAAUUCGAUGACUCAGUUUGUGUUUUAUGGCAUUUGUUUUAAUACAAUCCUAGCAUGCCUCGAGUCAUUCCUUUUACGUUCUGAUUUGUUGUGUCCUUGAAAAAAAUCCAUUAUUCCAUUUCAUCUAUUUUAUGAGUUUUCAAACACUCGAAAUGCAAAUUAUUGACCGCACUCGUUAAUACCUCGGAAAGGAAUAAUUGUACAUCGCAGAAUCCUCGAGGAAAGAAUUUUCUAUCGAUUAAUCCUCGCGGAAAGUACCGCGUAUCAUCAGAUUUUCUAGCCAAUGAUUGAUCGCGUAGCGUAAUAUUCAUGAUGUUGAAAAUCACUGUCCACUUAAGUGUGUUGGUAUAUCAUCCCCACUCUUUAUGGUUAUAUAAUGCACUCAUCUUUAUUCCAAUGUAUUAGCAUUAUUCUUUUCGUACUUGAUUUUUGUUUUAAAAUUAUUUAAAUCAAUUUCCAUUCAUUGAAAUGUCUUUCGUAUAAU
rnacentral:lncRNA from 1 species